rnacentral:rRNA from 1 species
UCAGCGGCGGACGGGUGAGUAACACGUGGGUAACCUGCCUGUAAGACUGGGAUAACUCCGGGAAACCGGGGCUAAUACCGGAUGCUUGAUUGAACCGCAUGGUUCAAUCAUAAAAGGUGGCUUUUAGCUACCACUUACAGAUGGACCCGCGGCGCAUUAGCUAGUUGGUGAGGUAACGGCUCACCAAGGCGACGAUGCGUAGCCGACCUGAGAGGGUGAUCGGCCACACUGGGACUGAGACACGGCCCAGACUCCUACGGGAGGCAGCAGUAGGGAAUCUUCCGCAAUGGACGAAAGUCUGACGGAGCAACGCCGCGUGAGUGAUGAAGGUUUUCGGAUCGUAAAACUCUGUUGUUAGGGAAGAACAAGUACCGUUCGAAUAGGGCGGCACCUUGACGGUACCUAACCAGAAAGCCACGGCUAACUACGUGCCAGCAGCCGCGGUAAUACGUAGGUGGCAAGCGUUGUCCGGAAUUAUUGGGCGUAAGGCGCGCGCAGGCGGUUUCUUAAGUCUGAUGUGAAAGCCCCCGGCUCAACCGGGGAGGGUCAUUGGAAACUGGGGAACUUGAGUGCAGAAGAGGAGAGUGGAAUUCCACGUGUAGCGGUGAAAUGCGUAGAGAUGUGGAGGAACACCAGUGGCGAAGGCGACUCUCUGGUCUGUAAC